AGAGUUUGAUCAUGGCUCAGGACGAACGCUGGCGGCGUGCUUAACACAUGCAAGUCGAACGGAAAGGCCCUUCGGGGUACUCGAGUGGCGAACGGGUGAGUAACACGUGGGUGAUCUGCCCUGCACUUUGGGAUAAGCCUGGGAAACUGGGUCUAAUACCGAAUAUGACCACGCUCUUCAUGGGGUGUGGUGGAAAGCUUUUGCGGUGUGGGAUGGGCCCGCGGCCUAUCAGCUUGUUGGUGGGGUAAUGGCCUACCAAGGCGACGACGGGUAGCCGGCCUGAGAGGGUGACCGGCCACACUGGGACUGAGACACGGCCCAGACUCCUACGGGAGGCAGCAGUGGGGAAUAUUGGACAAUGGGCGCAAGCCUGAUGCAGCGACGCCGCGUGAGGGAUGACGGCCUUCGGGUUGUAAACCUCUUUCAAUAGGGACGAAGCGCAAGUGACGGUACCUAUAGAAGAAGCACCGGCCAACUACGUGCCAGCAGCCGCGGUAAUACGUAGGGUGCGAGCGUUGUCCGGAAUUACUGGGCGUAAAGAGCUCGUAGGUGGUUUGUCGCGUUGUUCGUGAAAACUCACAGCUUAACUGUGGGCGUGCGGGCGAUACGGGCAGACUAGAGUACUGCAGGGGAGACUGGAAUUCCUGGUGUAGCGGUGGAAUGCGCAGAUAUCAGGAGGAACACCGGUGGCGAAGGCGGGUCUCUGGGCAGUAACUGACGCUGAGGAGCGAAAGCGUGGGGAGCGAACAGGAUUAGAUACCCCGGUAGUCCAA
rnacentral:rRNA from 1 species